GUGCUAAUUUCUUCAGCACAUAUCCUGAAAUCAUAACAAUACAGUAAAGAUCAGAGUCACCCCUGCUCAAGGAUGGUCUGAAAAUUUGUGUAGCAUCCCAAAGUUUA